rnacentral:rRNA from 1 species
AUUGAACGCUGGCGGCAGGUCUAACACAUGCAAGUCGAGCGGAUGACGGGAGCUUGCUCCUUGAUACAGCGGCGGACGGGUGAGUAAUGCCUAGGAAUCUGCCUGGUAGUGGGGGACAACGUUUCGAAAGGAACGCUAAUACCGCAUACGUCCUACGGGAGAAAGCAGGGGACCUUCGGGCCUUGCGCUAUCAGAUGAGCCUAGGUCGGAUUAGCUAGUAGGUGAGGUAAUGGCUCACCUAGGCGACGAUCCGUAACUGGUCUGAGAGGAUGAUCAGUCACACUGGAACUGAGACACGGUCCAGACUCCUACGGGAGGCAGCAGUGGGGAAUAUUGGACAAUGGGCGAAAGCCUGAUCCAGCCAUGCCGCGUGUGUGAAGAAGGUCUUCGGAUUGUAAAGCACUUUAAGUUGGGAGGAAGGGCAGUAAGUUAAUACCUUGCUGUAUUGACGUUACCGACAGAAUAAGCACCGGCUAACUCUGUGCCAGCCGCCGCCGUAAGAC